rnacentral:rRNA from 1 species
UACGGAGGGUGCAAGCGUUGCUCGGAAUUAUUGGGCGUAAAGGGCAGGUAGGUGGUCUCAUUUGUCAGGGGUGAAAGCCUUGGGCUCAACUCAAGAAGUGCCCCUGAAACGGUGAGACUCGAGUGCUGGAGAGGCUAGUGGAAUUCCCGGUGUAGCGGUGAAAUGCGUAGAGAUCGGGAGGAACACCAGAGGCGAAGGCGGCUAGCUGGACAGUAACUGACACUCAACUGCGAAAGCGUGGGGAGCAAACAGG